AUGAACGCUGGCGGCGUGCUUAACACAUGCAAGUCGAACGGAAAGGCCCAAGCUUGCUUGGGUACUCGAGUGGCGAACGGGUGAGUAACACGUGGGUGAUCUGCCCUGCACUUCGGGAUAAGCCUGGGAAACUGGGUCUAAUACCGGAUAGGACCACAUUUUGGAUGGUGUGGUGGAAAGUUUUUCGGUGUGGGAUGAGCUCGCGGCCUAUCAGCUUGUUGGUGGGGUAAUGGCCUACCAAGGCGUCGACGGGUAGCCGGCCUGAGAGGGUGUACGGCCACAUUGGGACUGAGAUACGGCCCAGACUCCUACGGGGGGCAGCAGUGGGGAAUAUUGCACAAUGGGCGCAAGCCUGAUGCAGCGACGCCGCGUGGGGGAUGACGGCCUUCGGGUUGUAAACUCCUUUCGCUAGGGACGAAGCGUUUUUGUGACGGUACCUGGAGAAGAAGCACCGGCUAACUACGUG
rnacentral:rRNA from 1 species